AUUGCUUUCCUUUUUAGAUCAGUGUAUUGUUACUCGGACAUACCUUUUUCUUCACAAAUUUUGGUUCUUCAGUGCUGUCUAUUACUUUGGAAACUGGGCCUUCAUUGCAGUCUUUUUAAUUGGAUUAAUUGUAUCGUGCUGCAAAGGGAAGAAAUCUGUCAUUGAAGGUGAAGUGGAUGAAGAUGAUUCAGACAUGAGUGAUGAUGAACUGUCUGUUUACUACCAUUGACAGCCUUUGCCUUUAAGGUUAA